UAUAAUUUUUUCACUCUUUCCUGAUUUCCAUCCCUGCUGAUAACCUAAAAUCCCUAAACUUAAGGGAUUUAGGGUUUUAAAAUAAUGGCUAAAUCCCCCUAUAUCUAUAUCAAAGACGCAGUUUUUUUUUUAUACCGACUAAUAGCAUCACUAAAUCAACAACUAUUCCAGAAAGAAAGUAUCAUCCGAGAAUUUGAUCAUGUUGACAAGAAGUGACUUUUGCUUUUGUAGGGCUUGGGGAAUAUGGGAUCUUGGGUUGCUAAUUUGGUUCAUUAAAGGGAUAGCAAGCUGUUCAUUUUUAAUACUCAGCAUUCCACAAGCCUUCUGUUGAGGUAGAUAGGGUGGUAGGUGGGACCCAACUAGCAUCCUAAUCUUCUUGCUUGGGCCUACUAGGAUUUAAGGGUGCAAACGAAGGUUAUAUGCGAGGUUGUUGGCAACAGUAUUAACAGAUUCAGUGGUAGCUGGUAAAAGGUCUUUGAUGUCUGCAGCAGUGUUGCUUGAUAAGCUCUACAAGAAAUACUUAAUUAAAAUGAAGCGUAAAAGAAAGAUGAAUAAGGAGAUGCAUAUUUUCAUAAUGUGGCUAAAUCAGAAGACCUCAUGUUGACUAUUCCAAGCCUAAGAAAGCCAUAUCCAUCAAUAAAAAGGUUUUUGAAUCACUGGUUUCCAUUCUAGCACGAUAUAGCAUGUUGGAGCUUCUAAAGCAUGCAUGAUAAAAGGAACUAAUAAGUACAAUUGUACAAAAGCCUUCUUUUGUAGGUCACAUUCUCAAAUUUAAACUCUCUUAGGUAAACAUUGGCCACUUAAUGUAAGUUCCAAGUUAUCGCUCCAGAUUUUCAAAAUUCGUAUGUAGAGUUUGAGUUAAUAUUAUUGACAAAUGAAUAGCAAAUUGCAUGUGGGCAUUGUUGCUGGGUCCAUUGCGGUGUGGAUUUUGAUACAAGUCUAUUAUCGUUUAUGAUUUUUUUAAGAAAGAAAGAUAGUGAUUGAAAGAAAAAUAAAAAGAAUGGAGGGAUCAUUGGUGGCAUUUGUAUACAUAGAUUUACAAGUAGCUACAACUUCAGUACGCAUUAGAGACACUCUAUAGCCAUCAGCCAAUGUGUAAGAAUCUACAUUGACAAAUUGUCAUAUUAUAGCGUUAUUGAUGAUUGUCUUUAUUACUCUCCCAUAUUAAAUGUUCAAUUUUGACUUAUCAAGUCUUCUGUUUUAAACUUUGACCUUAAAAAUAUUUGUCCAUAUUAUAUAACACUCCAUAUAAAAUAUAUGGACGAAUA